CUAACAACCUCCUAGAAAGAUCUGUGUGCCUCUGAGCAUACCCUAAAUGCAUGAUAGUUCUUUCCCAGCACAUCUGCUGUGCUCUGUGCCCUAGUCUGGGCAGAGCUGUUGGCAGGAGAGGAGGGGAGCAGGCUGCCUCUGCUGGCAUCACUGAAGGGCAAAAGACUCAUUGCUCUCUGUCAGUAGUCCAUGCUUGCCUACACAUUAGUAUUAACAGUCUGAGUACACACUCUGCGAGCAAUUUAACUCUCCCACUACAAUCAUGGCAGUUACUUGUCUGAGAAAUCAGUUUACAAUAAUUUGUCUUGUUUCAGGCAGGAUCAUGACACUGAGAAACAAAUCAGAUAACUGUUAGGUUCUCUGACGUAUUGUCCUCUGAUACAGUUGUCGCUUUGCAAACUUCACAUACUUUUCAGUGCUUCUCGGAAUACUUGACUACAAAAACAAAUGUUUUUCAAAUGUUGUGGCAGCAAAACAUGGGUUUCCCCCUUGACUUGUAGCAUUCCUUUCUACCACAUCAUAUUUGGUGUGUGUCUUUGCAAAUGGAAACAUAUUCUGACGUAUGAGGUCAAGGAUGUGAAAUUCUUCUGUGUGUAUGCAAAGGGAAAAUGUUUGUCCUUCGUAGGACACUGGAUCUUUGUUUUUCACUCCAUGCUAUUCUUACACUGGAGAGCUCAUUGCUCAGGGGAUGGGACAGAGCUAUAGUAGUCUCUCUUUGUUCUAGUAUCAAACCCACCUGAAGACACCAAGACCUCUCUGUACACAGCAGGGUGAGGGGUGAUCCAGGCUGCUGUCUGUGCUGUGCAGUGCACCUGCUUGAGUACAUGAGCCUACUCUUUAGUAAUCAUAGAAUCAUUAAAGUUGCACAGAGGUGCUCCGGGUAUUUGCCAGAAAGUAUGAUUGGUGGGAAAAGGGGGUGUCUUCUGAAAGAGUGUUUAUUAACAAGGAAAAGAAAGAAAGGGAAAAAAAAAAAAAAACAUACAAAAUGAAAUCAUAUCUUCUCUUCCUCUCUUUAACCAUUCUCUGUCUCUUUUGAGGAAAGUAACCAGAAUUCUCUAUGAUCACCUGGCGAGGAGGAAGAUUAUUUGGAUAUGCACUGCUAAAAAUUGCACAGCCUGUACUUUCUGUCCUACUUCCUUCUGUAGGAAAUCAUCUUUGUCUCACAGAAGUCUGUCCCUCCUGCCCUUUAAUCAUCCUUGAUCCUCUCUGAACUUCCUCCUGUAUGGCUGCAUUCUUUAUUGGUAUGCACCCGGAGCUAAAUACAGCGUAAAGAGUGCAGAACAGAGCUGUGUUGUAAUGGGUACUCAUUAAAAAUAAAACCCUCUGUCUUUGGACUUCGGUAACCACUGUGUAGCAGAGUUGAUUUACAAAGUUUAUCUGAAAAAGCAAAAUGCACUAUUAUUCAUUUGCAGAUAAAAGUCUGAAAUCUUCUACCUCUAAUUCCUAGAAAAGAGAGGAACAAAAGUAAACUGCCUUGAGUUGCUGCUUGUACCUCAGUUCCACAGGAUGGCAUCUGCCUCUCAGGACACACACAGACCCCUCGGAGUGCUCUGCAGUAUCUCCUGAUGCCUGGCUUGUCCCGCUCGCUCCUUCUAACAUCGCACUGGUCCUGUGCUGUGCAACUGGCCACUCUGACAGCUUUCAUCAUGCCAGAGUUUAUGGCAACUGUAAAUCUAUUAAGCCACAAUUUGCACUUAAUAAAACGAAACAGCAAGCAGUUAAACGAAAGCUCGAUCCUAAACGGGAGAACAUUUUUCAGGAAAAGUCAUUGAGGCUGCCACUGCUACUGCUGCCUGCCUGCCCGCCUUUGAGAAAUUCAAUCGUGCUGACUGAGGGAACCUGGGGAGAGCUGGCUACUCCUUCCUUUGGUUCAUAAUGGCCCCGUAGACCAUUUAAUCAUCCGCGGAUGACACAAAGGCCACGCUGUGAGCACCGGAUGUGGAGGAAUGCACUUAUCAGAUGCUUCCUGCCCGUGAGUGGGCACGGGUUCAGGCUCAUCCCCAUGUCCCUGUGCUUCAGAGUGUCCCUGCUGUCAGAGCAGAGAGCAGAGCAGAGGGCUGCUGCUGCUCCUCCUGAGUGCUUUUGUUUUCUUACAUCAGGGUGUGCACAAGCGGUGCUUUGGGAGCCGAGCUCAGAGUGUGGAGGGAAGGCCUUGUGCUGCAGGUUUCAGACAGGCCUGGAGGCACCCGCCCUGAGAAGCACUGGGUGCAGUCUUAGCAGGAGGAGAGGGGCACUGGGAGACAAAGCAGAGACUUACUUGCUCUUGUGAAACAGAUUUCUCUGUUGAUGUUAAAAUGACUUCCUCCAUGUCCACGGUUUCACCUCCACUCCAUAUUGUGUCAUUUCUGGGUGACCAAAUGGCUGACCCUGGUUUGUAGGUGAAUAGUCUGGUCAGAAACCGUAUGCCCAGUUUCAUUAACUAGAGAAAAAAAGCCCCAGCCAGGGGAGGCAAUGAGAGCUUGAAAAUUCGAUCCAUCGUACUAAUUGGUUUGGAAUAUUAGCCUUUAGUUUAGAUUGGAAAUCCAUUUCCUCCUGAAUACAGGCAAUUUGUUGACAGCUCGGGCCAUACAUGUAACCAUGUGAAGCUUGACAUGCCAUCCUCAACCCCGAGCCCACGAACGCUGGCAAACACAUUCAAAAUAGCUACAAGAGCUGGUAACUUCUG
ensembl:lncRNA